GCUUCAUUAGGCGGUCAUUACAUUACUCGCAACCACAAAAACGAGAACAUCACGGUUGGUGAUGGUGAUCGAUGCGGUUGAAUGGAAUGGAGACGAAAUGGAGGGUGGAGAGUGUUAAAAUGACCUGCGGCCCCCAAGAAGUUCUUAAAGAAAACACACACAAAAACGGGAAGAUGAAUCAGAAACGGAAAUCUUAUCAGAAAAUAUGUAUUUAGAGUGAUAA
ensembl:ncRNA C54D1.10 ncRNA